rnacentral:rRNA from 1 species
UUACGGAAGGCAGCAGUGGGGAAUAUUGGACAAUGGGGGAAACCCUGAUCCAGCCAUGCCGCGUGAGUGAUGAAGGCCUUCGGGUUGUAAAGCUCUUUCGCACGCGACGAUGAUGACGGUAGCGUGAGAAGAAGCCCCGGCUAACGUCGUGCCAGCAGCCGCGGUAAUACGAAGGGGGCAAGCGUUGUUCGGAAUUACUGGGCGUAAAGGGCGCGUAGGCGGUGCGUUAAGUUAGGCGUGAAAGCCCUGGGCUCAACCCGGGAACUGCGCUUGAUACUGGCGCGCUAGAAUCCAGGAGAGGUUGGUGGAAUUCCCAGUGUAGAGGUGAAGUUCGUAGAGAUUGGGAAGAACACCGGUGGCGAAGGCGGCCAACUGGACUGGUAUUGACGCUGAGGCGCGAAAGCGUGGGGAGCAAACAGGAUUAGAUACCCCAGUAC